AUUGAACGCUGGCGGCGUGCUUAACACAUGCAAGUCGAUCGGUAACAGGUGUAGCAAUACAUGCUGACGAGAGGCGGACGGGUGAGUAAUGCUUGGGAAUCUGCCUAUUAGUGGGGGACAACCCGGGGAAACUCGGGCUAAUACCGCAUACGCUCUACGGAGGAAAGCCGGGGACCGCAAGGCCUGGCGCUAAUAGAUGAGCCCAAGUCGGAUUAGCUAGUUGGAGGUAACGGCCUACCAAGGCGACAAUCCGUAGCUGGUCUGAGAGGACGACCAGCCACACCGGAACUGAGACACGGUCCGGACUCCUACGGGAGGCAGCAGU
rnacentral:rRNA from 1 species